UUGGUUAAGUUAGAAAGGGCGCACGGUGGAUGCCUUGGCACUAGGAGCCGAAGAAGGACGGGACUAACACCGAUAUGCUUUGGGGAGCUGUACGUAAGCGUUGAUCCAGAGAUUUCCGAAUGGGGGAACCCACUAUCUUUAGUCGGAUAGUAUCCUUACGUGAAUACAUAGCGUGAGGAAGGCAGACCCAGGGAACUGAAACAUCUAAGUACCUGGAGGAAGAGAAAGAAAAAUCGAUUUCCUGAGUAGCGGCGAGCGAAACGGAAAGAGCCCAAACCAAGAAGCUUGCUUCUUGGGGUUGUAGGACACUCUAUACGGAGUUACAAAAGAAAGUUAUAAAUGAAGCGGUCUGGAAAGGCCCGCCAAAGACGGUAACAGCCCGGUAGUUGAAAUGGCUUUCCCUCCAGAGUGGAUCCUGAGUACGGCGGAACACGUGAAAUUCCGUCGGAAUCCGGGAGGACCAUCUCCCAAGGCUAAAUACUCCCUAGUGACCGAUAGUGAACCAGUACCGUGAGGGAAAGGUGAAAAGCACCCCGGAAGGGGAGUGAAACAGUUCCUGAAACCGUGUGCCUACAAGUAGUUAGAGCCCGUUAAUGGGUGAUAGCGUGCCUUUUGUAGAAUGAACCGGCGAGUUACGAUUUGUUGCAAGGUUAAGCGGAAAAAGCGGAGCCGUAGCGAAAGCGAGUCUGAAUAGGGCGCAUAAGUAACAGGUCGUAGACCCGAAACCAGGUGAUCUACCCAUGUCCAGGAUGAAGGUAAGGUAAUACUUACUGGAGGUCCGAACCCACGCACGUUGAAAAGUGCGGGGAUGAGGUGUGGGUAGCGGAGAAAUUCCAAUCGAACUUGGAGAUAGCUGGUUCUCUCCGAAAUAGCUUUAGGGCUAGCCUCGAGGUAAAGAGUCAUGGAGGUAGAGCACUGUUUGGACUAGGGGCCCUUCUCGGGUUACCGAAUUCAGAUAAACUCCGAAUGCCAUGUACUUAUACUCGGGAGUCAGACUGCGAGUGAUAAGAUCCGUAGUCGAAAGGGAAACAGCCCAGACCACCAGUUAAGGUCCCCAAAUAUAUGUUAAGUGGAAAAGGAUGUGGGGUUGCUUAGACAACCAGGAUGUUGGCUUAGAAGCAGCCACCAUUGAAAGAGUGCGUAAUAGCUCACUGGUCGAGUGACCCCGCGCCGAAAAUGUACCGGGGCUAA
rnacentral:rRNA from 1 species